rnacentral:pre_miRNA from 14 species
CUUUAGAAAGAUCCCCAAAGGGAGACCCUUACUCAAGUCUUGGGAAAUCACAGACCCCAGACACAGAGAGACCU